GGCUUUGUGCAGUGGCAGUAUAAGUAGCCAAUGAGGUUUAUCCGAGGCACAAUUAUUGCUAAUUAAAAGCUAAACAUGGGUCCACAUAUAUGUUUGUGGUAUGAUUCUUUUAAUUCUAUGGGGAA
rnacentral:snRNA from 1 species